CUCCUGAUAUUCUUUAAUCGAGCUUGUUUAUCACGUCUGUUGACGUGAGUAGUUAGUUUUUAUAUUUGCAAUUCAGUCUUUAAUACCCUUCUCUCCUUUUCUUCUAGUAUCGACCAAUUUCUCGCUUGCUCUCUUUGUGGCUGUUCAAAUUUUUCUGAAAACAUGUCUUCCGAAGUUUCUGCCAUUGGUUUCGAAGGUUUUGAAAAGAGGCUGGAAAUAUCGUUUUUCGAGCCAAGUUUCUUUGCUGACCCUGAAGGAAAGGGUUUACGUGUCCUUUCCAAAAACCAACUCGAUGAGUUUUUAGGACCUGCUGAAUGCACUAUCGUUGCGUCAUUGUCCAAUGAGCAUGUUGACUCCUACGUUCUCUCUGAGUCUAGCCUAUUUGUUUAUGCUUACAAGAUAAUCAUAAAAACUUGCGGGACAACAAAAUUGCUGAAGUCCAUCCCACCAAUCUUGAAGUUAGCUGAUUCUCUUUCCCUCACAGCCCGAUCUGUGCGGUAUACUCGUGGGUGCUUCAUUUUCCCAGGUGCUCAGUCCUACCCUCAUCGUAGUUUCUCAGAGGAAGUUUCUGUCCUUGAUAACUAUUUUGGAAAACUUGGCUCAGGCAGCAAAGCUUACAUUAUGGGUGGUUCCGACAAACAACAGAAAUGGCAUGUUUACUCUGCCUGUGCUGCAUCUACGCGCACUCUUGACCCGGUGUACACUAUGGAAAUGUGCAUGACUUCUCUGAACAGGGACAAGGCUUCUGUUUUCUAUAAAACCAAUUCAAGCUCAGCCACUUCGAUGACUGAUAACUCUGGUAUACGAGAUAUUCUUCCAAAUUCCAGGAUAUGUGAUUUUGAAUUUGACCCCUGUGGUUAUUCCAUGAAUGCUGUCGAGGGCCCUGCCGUCUCUACUAUUCACAUUACACCUGAAGAUGGUUUCAGUUAUUCAAGCUUUGAAGCUGUUGGAUAUGAUCCAAAAUCUGUUAAUCUCAGUGACCUUGUUGCCAGGGUUCUUAACUGUUUCCAACCUGGGGAGUUCUCUAUAGCUCUUCAAGCUGAUAUUGCAUCUGAACUACUCGAAAAGACCAGCUCUGUACACGUCAAGGGCUAUCGUGUGGAAGAGAAAACUUGCGAAGAGCUCGGAAUGGAUGGUUCCAUCGUCUACCAGAAGUUCGUGAAGACAACCGAAAGAUGUGAAUCUCCUCGAUCAGUCCUGAAAUGCUGCUGGAAGGAGGAAGAGAAAGAAGAAAAGGAGUAUCAAUAAAUUACGGGUUAUUUCUCUCUAUAUU
rnacentral:lncRNA from 1 species